AGUAAUCAUAGCAGGUUUCAUUCAUUAGUCUGUCCGUUUAUACGUCUGUGUUUAGCUUCAAAUGGCGUUUUUGACGACAGUAUUCUAUAAAAAAUUAUUUGCAUUCCGAUUCUGACAUCCAAAGGCACAACAGUACAUUUUAUCUCUUAUUCUGUGGAUCUUUCCCGUUUCACUCCGCUUGUUACCGUGUGUUUCUGCAACCACAAUGCGCGCGCAGCUGCGAGUGACGUAACUGUGACGUCUACAUGAAAUUGGUCUACAGGUGGCAAUAAUGCUCUUAAGGAGUUAUUCGCUAUCAAACAAGAAGAAGGUGAAGAAGGCGAAGAAGCAUACGAGGACGGAAAAUACAUAGAUGAAGUGUUUUAUGUUAUUCACACAGUAAUAAUUUAAUAACAUUACAUUGUUUUAGAACGAUAUUUCUGUGCUGUGUGUGCGGCUCGCGGUGCGGAGCUGACCAGGAGGUUGAUUUUUAACAGGAAAACACUUAAAGACAUUUCCUUUGACUCAUGGUGCAGACAGAGGGAACACUGAAAUCCUAAACUUUCCUCGUAGACAUAAUUUUCUUUGACUUGUGACACUGAGAAGACGAAGAUGUUGCUUUUUGGAAAACACCAAAAAGAGACAUUUGCUUUGAUUCACUAUGCGGAGCAGGCACAGAGUUUACAGUUAUCAACAAGACACCUACAGUAAGUGUUAUAACAUGGUUCAUGCUGGAAUAACUGAAAAAUCAAAAAGAAAUGUGUUUGAGUAUAAAAUCAUCAGUGCAUUGUCAAGUUGGAUGAAAAGAGCUCUUGUUAACAUUUUUAGGACACAUAACAGACAUGGGUAAGCCACAUUUCCAUAUUUAAGAUUAUUGAUUGUCAUGCAUAACUUUUUGAUCAUUAAUAUUUGUUAUUUGCUGCCCUCGAAUAAAUAUUUUCUAAAGACUUUUUUUUUUUUACAUUCUAUUGACAGCCCCCAUGUUUAACAAUUUAACUACCCCAAUAGGUUGAUGCUGGAGAAAAUUAACAAAGCAUCAGGGAAUAUCUGCAUGUAAUGAAGGAGGAAACAGAGAAGCUUAGACCAAACGCAGAGCUCUUCAAAGAAAGGAUGGUGCUGAUAAAAUGCUAUCAGACAAAUUUUGUGUCCAAAUAUAACACAGAGGAGAGAGAGAGAGAUUUUGAGUUUCAUUCUGGCCAAAAUGCUCAGUACAGCAGUGUUAAUUGCCUCCUUAUUUAAUUGUAUGAGUUAUGACUAUAUUUUAAUACAUGUCUUUCCUCCUUUGCCUUCCUCUUAACAUAAGCUCAUUUUGGAUUUGGAAUGUGGACCAACAAAUUCUCACACAGCUCUCUGUAAUGACACCUUGAGUCCCCUGAAGGAGAAGUUCAGGUGCAUGAUUGAUGACUGUGAAGAUGGCCAACUGAAAAAAGGGCCACUCUCAGACCAGCCCAUCCCAACACCUAAGAUGAAGCUUAAAGGCUGUAGGGAGGGUCAUCUCGUGCAGUAUGACCACAUUGUGCUCAUGUUGGAUGGACAGUUAAUCACAGAGGAGAGCGAGGACAUCUCGACGGCACUGGGACUCCUCCUGUAGCAGCGGUUCUCAAUUCCAGUCCUGCCGACCUGCCCCCACAUGUUGUACAUGUCUCACUUAUUUAACACACCUGAUUCAGAUCAUGAGUGAACUGUGCUCUGACUGACAUGCAGUGUCCCUACAUGGAACAUUCAUUCACAGAUUUACACUACUUCCUGUCACUGUAAGUCAAUAUUCUCUAUUUCUGGGCCUCUUCCAAGUCUAGUUGUAGUUUAUAUUGUUUUUUUUUUAAUCCUGAAGGACUUACAAAAAUGUUAGUACACUGUUGACAGUGAAAAAGUGAAAGAUACUGCAGUACUUCAGAGUGUACAACUUAGUUUGCAAGUGGUUGUGUAUUAUUCAUUUUCAGUAAUUUCACUCACUCAUAUUAAUGUUAAAAAUACUUGAUUUUCCAAAUAAAGUAAAGAACAAAUGUAGGCCUAAGGCGAAACAGUUACCCAAUUAUAGGGCUACAGUAUAUGUAAACCAGGACUCUCUUCUUCAAAAAUGUACAUAUUUCAAGCUUGUUGCAUUAUUUUGUAUGUAUAUAAAACAACAACUCCCCGUAUAUUGUGAUGUUGUAUAUGUACAUGUAUAUUCCCUGGCUUGUCAGCACUCAUUUUAUUUGCUGCUGAAAUAAAUAAAUUAAAAGGUUUUGAAAGUGGGAUGUGUUUUGUUUCUCAGUAAGCAUUUAGUACAGGAAUUUGAAUAUUUAAAGCUGCAAUUUGGUAAGAAAUGAUUAGUUAUCAUUCAUCUUAAGUAAACGUGUCAUUUUGAAGCAUAUUGGCUCAUCUAUGGCACCUCUAAUGGUUUUGUUUUACACAUUUUG